UUUUGUCUGAGGUAAGGGGCUGGUUAUGCUCUGUCACCGUGCUCGGGGAGCGGAAGAGAAGAUGCACUGCUUAUUGCUUGGAUAAACAAGUCUUCAACAGCCCUUUUACAAGACUCAGAAAGGAGGCACCCGCAAGGACUCCACCUCCUCUCCAGAUGCUCCACAAGACGAGAGCAAGAAGCAGGACCUGCUGCAGUCCCAAGAGGCGAGGAUGGGUGAUGAAAGGGCGUUCACAGGCCUUCUGCUCCCCGCAGAACUUGAGGCACUGCGAUGAAGAAUUGCUGUUAUUCAGCUAAGAAGCAAUAUUGAUGCUGAAAAGCAAACGCAGCCACUGCCUUCCAUCCUCCCAGCA